rnacentral:lncRNA from 1 species
UCCCCCACGUCCCACAUAUUUUUUCUCUCUUUUAUUCCCAUCUGAUAGCUUGGGAAACUUUUAUUCCCAGGAAAUGUAAACCCAUGAUCUAUUUAAAAAGCCAUUUAUGCCCCUGCAAUUCCCGCUUUUCUUUCUCUGUGAACUCCUAUUCCCGCUAAACAUUCCACCUUCCCUGAUCUUCUAUAAAAACCCAUCAUCUUUGUGGUGUUCAUCAACUGCUUGCUAUUUUGGUUCUGGAUUUCACUCUUCUCUUCAAGGUACCAUCAAAUUUCUUUUCAAUUCUUCCAUUACUCAACAUAGAUUUGGUGAUUGAUAUCAUUAUUUUUUGGUCUACUGUUGUUGCUUAUUGCCUUCUCUCAACUCAUUUGUGUUCCUGUUUUGAGAAAUUUAACCCACCUUUGUGAUGAGUGCCACGAAGCCGUCGGAAGCAAAUUAUGAAUAUUGUUGGUGAAAAUGGUGAAAAGACUAAAAAUGAAGAAAUGGAAUGGAUAGACAGGGACGCCACACUUUCUAAUCCAAGAAAGUGAUAAGUCUAUGGAUGCGAGGAUCGCCACAAGAAAUAUGAUUUCUUGAUAAGAUCAAGGAUGGUUCAAUCCAGAACCACAAGAGACAAAGCUCUUAAUACACAUAUGUGUAAAAUUCUAUAAUAUUCAACUUUUUUUUUAUUUCAUAGAAAAAGUUACAAUUUAUAGAGUUUUCACAAAGUAACCUAAUGGACUCUAAUAAAUUAAAAUAAACUCAAAUAAAUGGCUGAUUUUCCUUACAUUUAUUCUCUAGAAAUAAAUUAUGAAAACGUCACUAAAGGGAUGUGAGAAGCCAAUUACUUCCUUGAGCUGCACCAAAUAAUUCUAUGUAAGGGCAAAUGAAGUCUGAGGCCGUUUACAACUUUCAUUCUCCCAUGUAGCUGUUAUCAUUCACACAAUCACUACCAUGCAUUUCAUUUUCAAUUGAAUGGGCCAAUAGCAAUUAAUAAUCUCUCCAUUUGAUUGUCAAGCCGUUACUUCUCAAAAUGAAGUGAAUUGGCUCAUUUAAUUCUUGAAGUGUGAGUAGUUUCCAACUGAUUUAUGCAAAGGAAAUACCAAAGGCAAAACUGAACAAUAGCCACCAUAAUGCCAACGUGAUUAAUCAUGUUAUUGGCAUUUUUGAACAGUACUAAUAAUUGACCAUUUGUCUAAUAGCCAAAUUAUUUUACUAGGAAAAUAACAUGCUUGUUUGGAAUUAAAAAUGAAUAAAAUAUUCAUUUUUUUUAUAUGUUUCCUUCCACAUGCUUAAUGAGCUUUUGAUCUCAUCACUUUGUUUUGGUAAGCUAGUAACAUGGAUAUUGUUGAUUUGAUUCACUUAAUCUUCUCUUUUUGUUUUUUGAGGGGUUGAUACUUAUUUUUAUUAUUUUUUGUUUUUCAAUUCUUCACCAAAUUUCGUUAAAAAAAAAAAAAAAAAAAAAAACACUUUCUUUGAAGUAUUAAUUUUCAUGUUUUUUUUUUGCACCUUCCAAUUGUAUCAAUUGAAGAAUCUUGGUUUUUUAAAGAUAAAAUAAAAUAAUUUUGCAAAUAUAUAAUUUUUCAGAUAUAGGACAAGGUUCAUGAGUAGCGAGCUAGGGUGUAUGCCUCAGUUCUUGCUACUCUGAAAUAUGCCGCAGCUUCUAAAUUAUAAACAUGGGAUAACUCUACAAGGCAAACACAAACAAGAAUCUCAAUAGUGCUCCUAUUUUAAGGAGAUUUUUAACUGAUGUUCUGUUUUUCAUUUGGCAUAAAUAAUAUUUAAAACACUUCAUCCUUUGCAAGGAGUUGAUAUUCACUGUUGUAUUUGAAAGAGUAACCAAAAGGAAC